ANUGCAGUCGAACGAACUUCCGUUAAUUGAUUAUGACGUACUUGUACUGAUUGAGAUUUUAACACGAAGUGAGUGGCGAACGGGUGAGUAACACGUGGGUAACCUGCCCAGAAGUAGGGGAUAACACCUGGAAACAGAUGCUAAUACCGUAUAACAGAGAAAACCGCAUGGUUUUCUUUUAAAAGAUGGCUCUGCUAUCACUUCUGGAUGGACCCGCGGCGUAUUAGCUAGUUGGUGAGGUAAAGGCUCACCAAGGCAGUGAUACGUAGCCGACCUGAGAGGGUAAUCGGCCACAUUGGGACUGAGACACGGCCCAGACUCCUACGGGAGGCAGCAGUAGGGAAUCUUCCACAAUGGACGCAAGUCUGAUGGAGCAACGCCGCGUGAGUGAAGAAGGGUUUCGGCUCGUAAAGCUCUGUUGUUAAAGAAGAACGUGGGUAAGAGUAACUGUUUACCCAGUGACGGUAUUUAACCAGAAAGCCACGGCUAACUACGUGCCAGCAGCCGCGGUAAUACGUAGGUGGCAAGCGUUAUCCGGAUUUAUUGGGCGUAAAGCGAGCGCAGGCGGUCUUUUAAGUCUAAUGUGAAAGCCUUCGGCUCAACCGAAGAAGUGCAUUGGAAACUGGGAGACUUGAGUGCAGAAGAGGACAGUGGAACUCCAUGUGUAGCGGUGAAAUGCGUAGAUAUAUGGAAGAACACCAGUGGCGAAGGCGGCUGUCUGGUCUGCAACUGACGCUGAGGCUCGAAAGCAUGGGUAGCGAACAGGAUUAGAUACCCUGGUAGUCCAUGCCGUAAACGAUGAUUACUAAGUGUUGGAGGGUUUCCGCCCUUCAGUGCUGCAGCUAACGCAUUAAGUAAUCCGCCUGGGGAGUACGACCGCAAGGUUGAAACUCAAAAGAAUUGACGGGGGCCCGCACAAGCGGUGGAGCAUGUGGUUUAAUUCGAAGCUACGCGAAGAACCUUACCAGGUCUUGACAUCUUCUGACAGUCUAAGAGAUUAGAGGUUCCCUUCGGGGACAGAAUGACAGGUGGUGCAUGGUUGUCGUCAGCUCGUGUCGUGAGAUGUUGGGUUAAGUCCCGCAACGAGCGCAACCCUUAUUACUAGUUGCCAGCAUUAAGUUGGGCACUCUAGUGARACUGCCGUGACAACCGGAGRA
rnacentral:rRNA from 1 species